rnacentral:rRNA from 1 species
GACAGAGGUGCCGAGCGUUAGGCGGAAUCACUGGGCUUAAAGCGUGUGUAGGCGGACGUCUAAGUACCUUGUGAAAUCCCACGGCUCAACCGUGGAACUGCUGGGUAUACUGGCGAUCUUGAGCCACCUAGGGGCGAGCGGAACAAGCGGUGGAGCGGUGAAAUGCGUAGAUAUCGCUUGGAACGCCAAUGGUGAAAACAGCUCGCUGGGGGUGUGCUGACGCUGAGACACGAAAGCCAGGGGAGCGAACGGG